GGGGGUAUAGCUCAGCUGGGAGAGCAGCAGACUGAAGCCUAAUUCGGUUAUUCUGAAGGUCCCGCGUUCGAUCCGCGGUACCCCCA